GACGAACGCUGGCGGCGUGCUUAACACAUGCAAGUCGAGCGGUAAGGCCCUUUCGGGGGUACACGAGCGGCGAACGGGUGAGUAACACGUGGGUGACCUGCCCUUAGCUCUGGGAUAAGCCUGGGAAACUGGGUCUAAUACCGGAUAUGACUCCAUGACGCAUGUUGUGGGGUGGAAAGCCUUGUGCGGCUAGGGAUGGGCCCGCGGCCUAUCAGCUUGUUGGUGGGGUGAUGGCCACCAAGGCGACGACGGGUAGCCGGCCUGAGAGGGCGACCGGCCACACUGGGACUGAGACACGGCCCAGACUCCUACGGGAGGCAGCAGGUGGGGAAUCUUGCGCAAUGGGCGAAAGCCUGACGCAGCGACGCCGCGUGAGGGAUGACGGCCU
rnacentral:rRNA from 1 species